AUCAGACAUUAAUGAACCAGUAAAGAAGAUACUGAGGAGCAGAAGAGUUUUCCCAGUGUCCCGGGAGCCAUUCUACACAGCAUCCUACAGAAUGACUGUGGAUCUGCUGUGCUUAGUUUCUUUACUUGUGAAAACAGAGUAAUAGUAGCACCUACCUCACAGGGUUGUUCUGAAGAUUAGAGGGGUUCUUUCAUGGGAAGCUCUAGAGCAGUGCUUGAGACAUGACUCCAUCCCAGACACAGCAUACCAGAGUCUCCAAAGGGCUAAGCUCAGCAAUCUGUUCUCAAGCUCCCAACAGGAGUCUUAUAUAGUCAGGCAGGCAAUGAUCAUAUAUGGGGACCAUUAGAAAUAAUCUAAUGCAUACCCUCUGAACUUCAAAUUUUUAGUAUUCUCAUUUUCUGCUCAAGCUCAAUUUCAACACAGUUCACAGUUUCUCAUAUCCACCAUGGCAUUCUGCCAAGGAACUACAACUCGUGUUCUCUAAACCCAUCUGUUCUAAGAAUGCUGGGCUGGUUAUCAAUUUCUAAUGUACCUGCUUAAACUUUCCUCUCUCAAUAUGUCCCUGACUGAACUGCAGAAGACAGAACAACUGUACUAGCCAUCUCUUUCUGCAUAUCCCAUGUCCCCACAGAGGCCACUGUGUCUUCAUAAAGCUAACUGACACGAUUUUCACAAGUGAUAUUUUUCCUUCAUGAUUUUCCAUUUUCUACUUGAGCAUUAAAAUACCAGGGAGAAAAGGAAGAUAAUCGUUUAGCAGCUGGGAAAAUAAGAUAUGUGCCCCAGCACAGUACAUGCUAAGUAUUCAGAAUGUAUAGUUAUAGUAGAUAACUAUAAAUUAGAUAACUAUUAAAAUAGUUAUAUUAGAUAAGUAAUAUUUUUCUCAUCUUCAAGACUUAAAAAGUUAACUGUUUUAAGUGGUAUUCAAAAAAGGAAGGUACUCACUCACAUCAACCCUAUUGAAACCACAUUUCUAUAGCUGGAUGUAACAAUCUUAAUCCAAAUCAUUCACCAAAGUUGUUUAACUUUCUUAAAGUAAGGCUCUAGACAUUUGCUUCUUUACAAGUAUCUUGCAAAGCCAUUAUGAGGUAGAAGAAAUGUUUAAAUGCGCCACAUUUUCCUACUGCAUUGUAACUAAAAUUACUACUCACAGGACGUGUAUAGCUUCUGCAUUUUGGUCCAUCACAUUUUCCGCCAUCAAAUGAGUGUAUUCUUAAGGUUCUCACUUUAUCAUCAGCAUAACAUAUUUUGCUUCCAGAAUGCCCAGUAAAGCUGAAAUUUUUCAUUUAAAGUGAUAAAAAAGUUCCCCAAAUAUCUACUUAACAAUCUUAGAUCUGAGUUUUAGCAAGACAGUUUAAUGCAUACACAAUGAAAACACUAUAUUUCUCAUUCUCUCUCACAUGCACAGAUUAAAACCCCAAAGUUUUCACUAUAUUUCCUCUUUCUUAUACAGCUCAAUUUUUAACAUGCAGCUUCCUUAUAAUCUAAAAACAAUUUUAAAUAUGAUUAUCAUAAAAAUAUUUUAAAACAGAGAUGAAAUGUGUAAAGGCAGAUAUAGAUCAUCCAUGGUUACAUUGGUUACAUCACAUUUCUUUAGAAACAGAACUGUUUCUACUCCUGUAGACAAACCUCUCUCACACAUUUAAAGUGAGGUUAGUGCUGACAUAAAAUUAUUGCUCUACUCACCAUCUGAGUGUUUGCACUGUGUUUGAGGUACAUUUUCUUCAUUUUCACAGCUCCACCACUCUUGAGAGUAUGAGUCAACAGAAGUUUGCAGGCUAAAACCAUUCAAUAAUAUUUUCAUCAAUACUGGAAUGAUAGUAAGUAACAUUACACAACAUCAGAGGCCAAAAAUUUUUCUUUGUUGAAGCCCAAGAUUUUAACUUAUUCUUCAUUACCUGAAAAUACUGCUCAUUUAACCUCUUCAGGAAAAAAAAAAAUUCUGUAGAUGAAUAAUUCCUGCCUUAAUGCUUCACCCAAGACAGUUCCUUCAUACUUAUCCUCCGAUGCUUUGUUCUUUUCAUCCAUUUGAUGUAGCAGGCAACAAGAAUCACCUUUCCUUUGGUGAUCUGACAUAGCG
rnacentral:lncRNA from 10 species